GCAGCCGCCGCGGUAAUACAGAGGGUGCGAGCGUUAAUCGGAUUUACUGGGCGUAAAGCGUGCGUAGGCGGCUUUUUAAGUCGGAUGUGAAAUCCCUGAGCUUAACUUAGGAAUUGCAUUCGAUACUGGGAAGCUAGAGUAUGGGAGAGGAUGGUAGAAUUCCAGGUGUAGCGGUGAAAUGCGUAGAGAUCUGGAGGAAUACCGAUGGCGAAGGCAGCCAUCUGGCCUAAUACUGACGCUGAGGUACGAAAGCAUGGGGAGCAAACAGGAUUAGAGACCCCGGUAGUCCCUGUCUCUUAUAC
rnacentral:rRNA from 1 species